UUCAACGGAGAGUUUGAUCCUGGCUCAGGACGAACGCUGGCGGCGUGCUUAACACAUGCAAGUCGAGCGGUAAGGCCUUUCGGGGUACACGAGCGGCGAACGGGUGAGUAACACGUGGGUGAUCUGCCCUGCACUUCGGGAUAAGCCUGGGAAACUGGGUCUAAUACCGGAUAUGAC
rnacentral:rRNA from 1 species